UACGUAGGGGGCAAGCGUUGUCCGGAAUCAUUGGGCGUAAAGCGCGCGUAGGCGGCUUCGUAAGUCUGCUGUGAAAGUCGGAGGCUCAACCUUCGAAAGCCGGUGGAUACUGUGAGACUUGAGUACGGAAGAGGAGAGUGGAAUUCCUGGUGUAGCGGUGAAAUGCGCAGAUAUCAGGAGGAACACCAACGGCGAAGGCAGCUCUCUGGGACGUUACUGACGCUGAGACGCGAAAGCGUGGGGAGCAAACAGG
rnacentral:rRNA from 1 species